UGGUUGAAAUGAUCUGAAGAACUUGUUCAGAUUUGAUUUUCAACAUUGCAAUGAGUGGCGAACGGGUGAGUAACACGUGGGAAACCUACCUCUUAGCAGGGGAUAACAUUUGGAAACAAAUGCUAAUACCGUAUAAUAAUUAAAACCGCAUGGUUUUAGUUUAAAAGAUGGUCUUGCUAUCACUAAGAGAUGGUCCCGCGGUGUAUUAGUUAGUUGGUGAGGUAAUGGCUCACCAAGACAAUGAUACAUAGCCGAGUUGAGAGACUGACCGGCCACAAUGGGACUGAGACACGGCCCAUACUCCUACGGGAGGCAGCAGUAGGGAAUCUUCCACAAUGGACGAAAGUCUGAUGGAGCAACGCCGCGUGUGUGAUGAAGGGUUUCGGCUCGUAAAACACUGUUGUAAGAGAAGAAUGACAUUGAGAGUAACUGUUCAAUGUGUGACGGUAUCUUACCAGAAAGGAACGGCUAAAUACGUGCCAGCAGCCGCGGUAAUACGUAUGUUCCAAGCGUUAUCCGGAUUUAUUGGGCGUAAAGCGAGCGCAGACGGUUAUUUAAGUCUGAAGUGAAAGCCCUCGGCUCAACCGAGGAAUUGCUUUGGAAACUGGAUAACUUGAGUGCAGUAGAGGAAAGUGGAACUCCAUGUGUAGCGGUGAAAU
rnacentral:rRNA from 1 species